GAAAUUCGAUUCCGUAAGUAGCGGCGAGCGAACGCGGAAGAGCCCAAACCAAUAAAGUUUUCUUUAUUGGGGUUGCGGACAUAUCAUAACGAAGAGGUAUCGUAAUUGAAGAGGUUUGGAAAGACCCGCCACAGAAGGUAAUAGUCCUGUAUGUUAAACGAGAAAACUUUAGAUAUGAUCCAGAGUACCACGGGACACGUGAAACCCUGUGGGAAGCAGGAG
rnacentral:rRNA from 1 species